UUUGAAUCGAAGUUAUCUGGAUGUUGGAUUUAGCAACCAGGCUGUACAGUGUUUUUUUCCAUUUUAUUUUUUGUAAAGACUGAUCCAUAACUGAAGAAUUAUAUAGUUGAUACUUUUCGAAUUUUGUAAAUUGUUUUUGGCAGAAACAACUGGUUCGAAGACAUGUUGCACUAGGCAGGUUAGAUCUCCGUUGCGAGAAAUCAUAUUCCUGCAUCAAAAUUUCUUGGUACUUGCUUAAAAAAUGUCUGGAAAUAUGUGGAGUGGCUGCGGAUUGAGGUGGGCUAAUUAUCUAAGGCAUUAACAUUUCAUUCUAUGUCGAUUGAAAAGCUUAAAUGAAGCAAAAAACUCCUUUCAAAUUUGUUUCCAACAAAGUUAGUUGCAGCCGAUUUUGACUAUUUCUUCGGUCCUUUUGUUUUCUUGGAAUUAUGGAGUAGACGGUGUAUGCCAUUAUCUUCUUUCUAAUAAAUUCUUGCUUUCUUUAUAUCUAAUGGAAUAUAAUGGAGCUUGCUUUGUUUCUGUUGAACUUUUCAUAUAGUUGUGACCAUUUUUUCUA